UAUAUCUACGUUUUAGCAACGAUUCGACCAACGAUUAGACGGAUCAAAUUAUUCGUUCGAUCGUAGCUUCAACCUUUAACGAUGGUUUUUAAGCCUCUCUUCGUUUGAUCGAUCCUAUCGUCUCGCGUUGGGGUAAGGAUCCGUCGUCGAUUUUACCGUCAGUAUAAGAAUUAAUUAUUUCGUCAUAGAUAGGACAAAACGUGACCACGCGGAAUAAAAUUCAACGUAGUUGCGAUACUUUGAAUCGGCGUGAAGAUCACUGGCAAGAGUGGCGACGACGACGACGACGACAACGACAACGACAACGACAACGACAACGACGACGAAGUUAGGAUAAGCAAGAUAAGGAGAUUGAGGAAGGGUGAACGAACGCGUGAUACAAUAAAACGUGUCUUGACGAUUGCAUCGUUCGAUCGCACUCGCACGACGGAUAUUUUCCAAGACGCGCGUCGUAUUCCGACUUGUUUCGUUACGUUCGCGCCAAAUUACAAAUAUUUACUGUUAUACAACCUGUGAAUACGGUUUCGAGAAUUUAUCGUUGGAGACUGACAAGUUGUACGUUGAAAUUGUCGAUCGAGUUCUAUCUCGCCUAAAUUUGUCGACUCGUCCGACGUACUUCCGACCACCGAAACAAUUCUACGUGUAUGUGUCGUAUAGUAUACAGUAUAGAGUAUACAGUAUACAGUAUACAGUAUACAGUAUACAGUAUACAGGACGUUUCACGCAACCGGGACAAGCCGUAACGUUGAAACGAUGGACGAAGUAAGGUUUCGUUAGAGAAAUUAAACAAAUAUAUGCGUAAUAAUAGAUGAAACGCGUUACGUGGUGCGCGUGUCUCUUCUGAAAUUGGAGACGCUUCGAAGAUUUCGAGAUCGUCUCUAUCUAUUUUAACGAAGCUGUACGUUUUGUCGUUUUCUGCGGCAGAAAGGCAUCGGGAUACAAGACGAUCGGCGGACAAGACGUAUCGGAUAACUAGUUCGAUCGGAUAAUAGGAGCUCGAUAAUUCAGCCUUGCUUCGCCGAUUUCUAAUAUACCUCUAUACGCGUAUCUUCGCGCGCAAGGUACGAGCCUGAUAUUCAUCCGCUUCAUUCGCAACACCCUGUAUGACCGCGAGUCAGGUCGUAACGCAAGAAAUCCCUCGAUCCAACGUUUCCGUGGACCGGCGAUCAGCGGUGUGGGCCGCUCGGUACUUAAGUUUAAGUUAAAGGGGGCCCGAGACUCGUUUCUGGUUUCUGACCGUUCUACUCGGGACCCUCGCCUCCUCGCCAGAGAUCUACCUGCGACGCAGGGGGCUGAUCCGUCCGCGAGAUAUUUUUCAUCGCUCUAGGUUACGGGGUAAGUUACCGUGGUUGGCAACACUUGACUCCACGGUGCAAGGUUACGGUAGGCGGACUCUGUCUCCUCCUGCUCCUCCUGCUCCUCCUGUCCCUCCUCUCUUUUUCUCUCGUCUCUCAUCGUACAGAAAAUAUACCCAUAAACUGUGGCCGUGCAUGUGUACACCGGGCAUUUGGAGUUACACCCACGUGUAUUUUACGUGCUCGCACACAGGCGCGCGCGCUCGCGCUCGCGCACGAUUCCAGCGCACAAAGAAGCACGCGAACCGGGUGCAACGCGUGAAAGAGGAGGACAGGGUGCGAACGGGUCGGACAGAGAAGAGGAGACCGGUCGAGGAGGAUGAAAGCGUGUUGUGAAAGGAACAUCGAGUCGGAGUUUCGCCGGGGGAACGGGUGAAAGACGAAAGAGAGAAGAGGACGGAAACGCGGAGAGGGAGUCGUGGGACGUGCGAGAGGGAAGAAAAAGAGGGAUAAUGGUAAAAAAAGGAGAAGAGGAGAGGGGAAGAGUAAAAGGAAAAAGUCAAAGGGUAAAUGAGCCGAGAGGCUGAAGAAGGAGGAAGGGAUCGUGGAAAGGAGCAACGGAGAAUAGAAAGGGAAAGGGUGAGUAGGAAAGGGAGUAAAUAAGGAAGCCAUAGGGGAAUGGAAAUGGGGAAGGAAGCGGAAUGCGUGUUGGGUCUGCGUGCGCGCUUAUUCCCGUAGGAAUACAAAUACUCGCUAUUUAACGCUUCGAUUCUCAUCGUGCGCGACACAAAAUUUGUGGAUUUUAACGCGUUCUAACGCUUAUUUCGUAUCUCUUAUGGGCCGUUUUAUCUCGUUACGCAUAUUCGUUGACGCGUACGACGUAAAUUCGGAAUUAUCGUAAUCGGGGAAAGAAACGGCGAUAAAGAGCCGAGUAAAGUGUCGAGCUAUACGGGCGAACGAUACGAGAUAAAGUAAAGGACACGAGGCGGAAAAUAAAAGGAAAAAAUUGACAACGCGAGAAAGCAGAAGGUAAAGCGGAGAGAAGCGUAGGAAACAAGAGGGGAAAAAAGAAAGCAGCGAGAGGAAGAGAAGCUUCUGCGCAGCAUACGUGCAAGUUAAACAUACGGGAGACACUUGUCGGUGAAAAAUGUGGAUUUAUCAGCGGUGCUUGUAAAGCGCGACAAGAAAAACGUUUUCGCUUCUGACACUGGGACAGCUAGGUUUUUGCGCGUCUCAGAAAACAAUGUCGCGCUUUGGCGUCGAUGCCAUUAAGAGUUUAACCCCGUUUAACCGACUUUAACGAUCAACGGCCACCUAUUUAAUUUUCCGCGUGCUACGCCUACUCCGCCGAAGAAAGCCGUACUUGAAUUUUUUGAUCGAAGAUGGAUUUUGGAUACUUGGAACGAUAUUAAGCGAUGCGAAGACACGCCUGUUCCAGGCUUUUAUACGAUCGACCGACGCGCAAGUUAUUCGAGAGACGCGAUUACACGCCUUCGCUGAAUACGCGAUAAAAACAAUCGAUGUAACGGCGUACGGACAGACUAGACGAUAAAUCCAGCUAAAAGUCAUUAAGAUUCCAAUAGAAACCAAGUUCGGAGACACGGCAGCGGUUAGAAAAAAUCAAGAGAAGCGAAUGCCGCGGUAACGGCGAUUGCUAAGCGACUGGUUUAUGCGUAUGUAUGAGGCUCGAGCAGCGGACUCGAACGUUUACCAUGCGACUCUGAUAACCCAGGCCCGCCGUUGAUAAUGAGCUUCGUCGAGGAGUAUCGAUCGAACGGUCACGACUCACGUUAUAUUGUGCAAUUCGUAUGAUAAAUACCUCGGUGAAAAAAUAAACCACGGAUUUCGGCGAAUUACGCCGUUUUUGCCAAUCUAACUCUUUUAUUUAAUUAUUAUUCCGAUCUGCGCGUAAUGCUUUUUACUCGUUGAUCUUAGGUUUUUUGUUUUAACGAAAUCGAUAGACGUAACACCGAAGAUCGUGGCGACGAAAAAGAAAAAAAGAAAAGAAAGAAAA